GACGAACGCUGGCGGCGUGCUUAACACAUGCAAGUCGAACGGUAAGGCCCUUCGGGGUACACGAGUGGCGAACGGGUGAGUAACACGUGGGUGAUCUGCCCUGCACUUCGGGAUAAGCCUGGGAAACUGGGUCUAAUACCGGAUAGGACCACUGCCUGCAUGGGUGGUGGUGGAAAGCUUUUGCGGUGUGGGAUGGGCCCGCGGCCUAUCAGCUUGUUGGUGGGGGGGUGGCCUACCAAGGCGACGACGGGUAGCCGGCCUGAGAGGGUUACCGGCCACACUGGGACGGAGAUACGGCCCAGACUCCUACGGGAGGCAGCAGUGGGGAAUAUUGCACAAUGGGCGCAAGCCUGAUGCAGCGACGCCGCGUGAGGGAUGACGGCCUUCGGGUUGUAAACCUCUUUCAGCACCGACGAAGCGCAAGUGACGGUAGGUGCAGAAGAAGGACCGGCCAACUACGUGCCAGCAGCCGCCGUAA
rnacentral:rRNA from 1 species